rnacentral:rRNA from 1 species
CCUACGGGUGGCUGCAGUGGGGAAUAUUGGACAAUGGGGGGAACCCUGAUCCAGCCAUGCCGCGUGUGUGAAGAAGGCCCUCGGGUUGUAAAGCACUUUCAGUGAGGAAGAACGCCUGGUGGUUAAUACCCAUCAGGAAAGACAUCACUCACAGAAGAAGCACCGGCUAACUCCGUGCCAGCAGCCGCGGUAAUACGGAGGGUGCGAGCGUUAAUCGGAAUUACUGGGCGUAAAGCGCGCGUAGGUGGCUUGAUAAGACGGUUGUGAAAGCCCCGGGGCUCAACCUGGGAACGGCAUCCGGAACUGUUAAACUUGGGUGCAGGAGGGGAAAGUAGAAUUCCCGGUGUAGCCGUGAAAUGCGGAGAGGUCCGGAGGAAAACCAGUGGGGAAAGCGGCCCUCCGGACUGGAAAUGGAAACGAGGUUCGAAAGCGUGGGUAGCAAACAGGAUUAGAUACCCUGGUAGUC